UGUGCAACACAACACAUUUGGCGUUGAACUGAAUUGAGCGAUGGCGACGCAAAAAUCUAAAGACAAAGACGUACCUUAUAUACCACUAGAAGAAAACGAAAUGAGUAACAUUAGCGAUGAUUCUGAAAUUUCGAUUACUGAAUCGGAUGAAAACAGCGACAUAGAAAAUGAAAGCGGAUCUACGACGGAAGAGACUGAGAAAGCAACGUGUUGUACGAAUCUCUGUAAAGAGUCACCUUGGUGUAUGGCAUGUCGAAAGACGGUAAAGGCAAAGCUUAACGAUACAACACAAAGAAUUACGAAUAUUGAAAAGGGCGACCACGUCCGGGUGCCUUUACUUAAUAGGCGUUUUGAAUAUCAUCACGCCAUCGUUCAUGCUAUUUCGAAAGUAAGAGAUAACUUCGUUACAGUGAAAGCUAUAGGUGUCGAUAAUGGAAAAGCAGGAAAGAUAAAGCCAAAUGUUUUUCAAAUCAAUACUCAUUUUCUAAGAUCAAAGGACAAAAGUGGUCGUGUAAAGAACAAAAAAGUUGAUGUUAAAGCAUUGGAAAAAUAUGAAUAUUGUAAACCUAUGUAUGAUAAAGCAAAAACACUCAAAAGAGCUAAAAGUUGCCAAAAACACUGUAAAAAGGACAGCGAUCGAAAAUUGUACAAUGCUUUAUUGCGAAAUUGUGAACAUUUUGCAUGUGCAUGCGUCAACGGCGAACGCAAUCUAAACUAUAAAAACAACAAAGAAAGUAAAAGUUUUCAGAGCUACAGAUGUUGUUGGAUGGUAUUUUAUUUUAUUCUUUUUCUUAUUCAAACAGGCAUUUUCAUAUUUAAUCUUCUGAUUUACAAAAAAUACAGAGAACGUGUAAACGGUAUCACUUCAGUGUGUUUUUCCAACAAAAAUGUCCGAGGAAUUCAUACUAUUUGUGAUUGGUUUUUAAUUCUG